rnacentral:rRNA from 1 species
GCUUUAUGUUUAAUUAUAAAGUAUAGUCUGCCCAGUGUUUAUAUAAACGGCUGCAUUAGCACUAAGGUAGCAUAAUAAUUUGUCUUUUAAUUGAUGACUAGAAUGAAUGGCUUUACGGGGGAUUACUGUCUCUUAUUUUAUUUUUGAAUUUUAUUUUCAAGUAAAAAAGCUUGAAUUAUUUAGUGGGACGAAAAGACCCUAUAGAGUUUAAUAAAUAUUGAUUAUUUUAUUCUUUUAGAUAAUUAUUUUUUAUUUGGUUGGGGUGAUUUUUUAAUAUCUUCUUUAUUUAAAAAAAUGAUUUUAUAUUUAUUUUGAUCUUAUAUUAUUGAUUAUUAGAAUAAAUUACCUUAGGGAUAACAGCGUAAUAUUUUUUUAGAGUACUUAUCGAAAAAAUUGUUUACGACCUCGAUGUUGGAUUAUAGAACCUUAUUGGAGAAGAUUUUUUUUUAGGUAGUCUGUUCGACUAUUAAAUCUAUACA